rnacentral:rRNA from 1 species
CCUGCAUGUCUAAGUAUAAACGCUUCUAUACUGUGAAACUGCGAAUGGCUCAUUAAAUCAGUUAUAGUUUAUUUGAUGGUUCCUUGCUACUUGGAUAACCGUAGUAAUUCUAGAGCUAAUACAUGCAGAAAGUCCCGACUCCUGGAAGGGAUGUAUUUAUUAGAUCCAAAACCAGCGCGAGUUUCCCUCGUGGGACUCGGUUGCUCGGUGAUUCAUGAUAACUGCUCGAAUCGCAGGGCCUGUGUGCCGGCGAUGAUGCAUUCAAAUUUCUGCCCUAUCAACUUUCGAUGGUAGGGUAGUGGCCUACCAUGGUUGCAACGGGUGACGGAGAAUUAGGGUUCGAUUCCGGAGAGGGAGCCUGAGAAACGGCUACCACUUCUAAGGAAGGCAGCAGGCGCGCAAAUUACCCAAUCCCGACUCGGGGAGGUAGUGACAAUAAAUAACAAUGCCGGGCUCUUGUAGUCUGGCAAUUGGAAUGAGUACAAUCUAAACCCCUUAACGAGGAACAAUUGGAGGGCAAGUCUGGUGCCAGCAGCCGCGGUAAUUCCAGCUCCAAUAGCGUAUAUUAAAGUUGUUGCAGUUAAAAAGCUCGUAGUUGGAUUUCGGGGCGGCCCGGCUGGUCCGCCGCGAGGCGAGUACUGGUCGGGCGCCCUUCCUCUCGAAGGCCCCGACUGCUCUUUACUGCAGUGGUCGGGGAGUUCGGGACGUUUACUUUGAACAAAUUAGAGUGUUCAAGGCAGGCCGUCGCCUGAAUACGUUAGCAUGGAAUAAUGGAAGAGGACCUCGGUCCUAUUUUGUUGGUUUCCAGGGCCGAAGUAAUGAUUAAGAGGGACAGUUGGGGGCAUUCGUAUUUAAUUGUCAGAGGUGAAAUUCUCGGAUUUAUGAAAGACGAACAACUGCGAAAGCAUUUGCCAAGGAUGUUUUCAUUAAUCAAGAACGAAAGUUGGGGGUUCGAAGACGAUCAGAUACCGUCGUAGUCCCAACCAUAAACUAUGCCGACUAGGGAUCGGCGGAUGUUAGUGUUUGACUCCGUCGGCACCUUAUGAGAAAUCAAA